CGUUGGCUUCCCGCGUGUGCGUGCGUGCCCGGCGUGUGUGCGGGGGACUGAGAUCCAGUGACUUCACUUUGUACUGUCAUGCUGCAACUUUAGCGUUCCAAUCUCCAUCCAAAACGCAUCCAAAGGUCAAUAUGAGACACAGGCAAAAACUUCAGGAUUUAGCAGUUUGGGCAAGGGCGGGCAGGAAAUUGGGGAUUCGCGGGCUUGCGGGUCACGUCUGGAACUCUCCCGCGGCGCCGACCACGCUGCCGCAUCAGAGAGGAAUCGAAGCGACACGACGGCGGAGUACGGGGAGCUGGCCGCAACGUUGCUGGAGGAGGAGGGACGGCCGCCGCCGGAGAAGAGGAGGAGGGUCAGGUCGCGCCGUCGCUGGAGGAGAGGAGGGGCGGCCGCCACCGGAGGAGAGGAGGAGGGACACACCGCCACCGCAAGAUCGUUCCACCAAGGAGAAGUCCAUCGUUGCCGCCAUUAAAGGAGAGAAAUCGCCUCAGCGUCACGCCCGCGAGGUGUCCCGGACAGACAGUAAUUAAGUCGGCAAAACUAGAAAGAGACAGGAAAGUGCGUGUCAAUUAAGUAGGGUCCUGCUCAAUUGAGUGGGUAAAGCAGGGCCAGGGGAAAGUACAUGAAUGGCUUAUUGAAAGCUUCAAGCCUUUUGGAACCAUGGUGCUGGCCCCAACACAAGCCCUUUUUGAAACAAAAGUUCACCGCUGCCGGGGAUCGAACCGUAGGCAAGGCAGGAAUACUUACCACUAUACUACAACGACUUGCUUUUUCGGAAACCGUGUGAACUUUUGCAGUAUGAUGAAGGGAUCGAUGUAUCUCCAGAGGCAAGACAGUCUGAAGAAGGAAAAAUCAGAUAGACAGGUGGUUCAGGCUGAGGCACAGGAUACAAAUAGCUCAGCUGUCUGCCUAUGCUAGUUCAAACUAUGAAAGCCACUAAUUUUUGUCAGUAUGUAAAUUCUUUCCAAAGCUGGUUGUUAUAUCAGUUAUGCCUAUUAUAUAUUUACUGGUACGUACACUAGUUCAUCAGCUAGAAACUUGCUACUUCCUCUGUGGAAGACCUAGAAGCAAGCGCUCAGUCAAAUUCUGUACACUUCUAUAGUAGUUUAGAAGCUAUUCGGCUGUACAAUAUCCCUUCCUUCUGAAUUUGUAACAUAUGGAUCAAUUUGAAGGAGAUCAUGUUACCUUUCCCUGCA